rnacentral:ncRNA from 2 species
ACCUAUCUUCAGGGCGGGGUGAGAGUCCCUACCGGCGGUAGUUUUAUCAAUUCGGUUUUGGAUUUAUAAAAGAGCCCGCGAGCGCUUCAUAUGAUCAUAUAUGAAGGUCAGCAGAUAUGGUCAAAAUCCAUAGCCGACGGUUAGAGUCCGGAUGAAAGAAGAAGAUA